rnacentral:lncRNA from 1 species
AUAUUGAGGUCUAAAAUUAGGCCACUUAGCAGAAACCUGCUCCUUAAAUGGUGAAAUAUUUUAUUUUUGCACUUUGAGUCAUAUUCCUACCCCAUAUAAGCUACAGAGGAGCCUGAAUGGAUUGGGCAGGAAACAAAUAUAAUGCAAACAAGUUGCAGCUAGUGCUGAGUGAUCCCAAUUUGGGUGUACUCUGAACAUUAUUUUUUAUUUUUCACUUGAGAAAAUGGCACAAGGCAAUUUAAGUUUUAUUAUGCUUUUAAAUCUCAUACUUUAGAAUCUGGUAACAUCUUCAAUAAUUGUUGAUUCUUUUACAUGCUGGGGAUGAAAAUGCCAACAUUUCAUCUAAGGAAAUUGCAUAAUCAUGAAGGGUGAAGGAUGUUUCCUAUGCAGUUAGAGUCUUUGACCCUUGAGGUCAAAAGAUAUGUAACUCCCAUUUUUUUCCAGAUGACAGAAGAGGACUGAAUUUAGCUAGGGAGGGACUGGCGUUGGCUUUUGGGAAAAUGUUUGAAAAAAAAUCCAUGGCAACAUUAAGUCAAGAAUGUUGAAUAGCUACUUAAUGGUAAAUUUCCUAACAUCAAUCUUCUUUCCUUCGUGUGGAUUUUAUUCUAGAACAAAAUAGAAAAAAAAAAUUGCAACUAACUUUGCAGACCUCUUGAUACUGAGAGUGCCUAAUAGCAGACUGUAAUGAGGAUUGUAAAAUAACUUCCCACACUUACAUUUAUCAUAUCUGUUUUGAGGAAAAGGUAAGCUAGAUUUAUAAUUUAUUGUUAUAACUAUUACAGGGCAUUGUUUACAUAUAUUAAUCAUCUCCAGGUCUCUUCCUUGGAAAACUUUGAGACAAAAUUCUUUUCCAUUUCUUUUUUUAAUACAAAACCUAUAGUUUUGUUGCUUUUUGUUUUGUCCAGAAAUUUCCAGAUUUUGUCUUUGUAUUUUUUUCUUGUUAAAACCAUAUUGAAGGUAGGAUAUACAUUUUGGGUGUGAAUAUGGCUAGGUAGAGAAGCUACAUGCCUUAGAUCUACAUAUUUUUUACCUUGUCUACAGUUGGAAACGUGUGAGAGGCUUACAUCAUUGAACACUGAGAUUUCAGUAUAGAAGGAACCAAGGUUUUUUGUUUGGGGAUGCAAACUGGAGGUUAUAUUGAAAGUUCUCCAUGCAAUUUCUGUCUUCCUAGGGGCAGCGUUACCUGUUUUUUCCUUUUUUUCCUUUCUUUUUUUUUUUUUAAUCCCAUGAAGAGCAGCAUUACUGAAGGGUAAUUGAAGUUUCUAAUCAGGUUUAGAAGAAGGCAAGUUUGCUAUUAUCACCAGAUAAUUUGGGAGAAACCUUUUUUGGCUGCAGAAUUCUCAACAUGCCUAUUUUCUCCAUAGUUCUCUGUGGCCAGAAUUGCUAGAAUAAAAAUACAACUUCCGUAUGCUAGAUCUAUUUAUUAGUAUCCCUUUAAAUCAGAAAGCAAUGAGCUUAGCCAUGGAACCAGUCAGUUAAAUAAGUGUGGACUGUUCACAGGAAGAACCCCAUGCUAGAGACCUGCUGAUAGUGUAACUCUGACACUGCACAUGGCAUUCUUCCCUACCCUGUACCUGCCUGAGUUUUGUUACUUAGAAUUCUAAAAAUCUUAUAAUUUUGUAAAUCAUAAGGACAGAGGCAUCACAUCCUUUUAUAGCUGAUGUGAAACCAUGUGUUCUAAGGAAACCUGUUUGGAAUGUGUUAUUUGUAUAUUCAAAGUCAUAAUCAUAACACUAACCUGCUUUGAUGGUAUUAGUAAAAAGCAAUUUCAUCAUCAGUUUCAUAGUAAACUUUUUUUUAAGGAUUCUUGUUCCAUAAUGUUUGAGAACAGUAACCAUAUUCUCUUUUUAAACUCUCUAAUCUAAUAAAUUUAAUUCUUUGAUAGUCUUCUUGUAGACUUAAGUUACCCCUUACUAAAAGUAAUUAUGGUAAUAGUCAUUUGUCAGUUCUUUACGGUAUUCAGGUAUUUGAGACAGGAAAACUCUUUUUUUACAAUAGUCCCAUGGCUUUCUUAAACAGUAUUGGUUUCAUUCAGAUAGUUUCAGAGCCAACAAAGCAUGUCAGCUUUAAUGCCAUCUUUACUUUGGCAGUUAAGACAGUUUGCAUUUGUAAAAUGUUUUAAUCUGAAUUACCCCACACUGCUGUAGAGGAAAAUUCUUAAUAACACCAAAAGUCAGACUGCUACAGGUGAGCAAUGAGAAAGGAAAGAGGUUGAGGGUAUUUUCUUUCUCUGUCUUUGAGUAGCUUUGAAUGACUGAAAUUACUAUGGAAGUAGGUUUUGUUUCCCCUCUCACCUAUCCCUCACCCCCAGCAAAUGCCACCAAUUUCAAGUAUCUAAAAUAUGGCCAGUUAUUUUGCAUCAAGUUCAAUGAAAACAUCUGUGAAAUCUAUAAUCCAGCUCCCCCAAAAGUUGGUUUUUUAGAAUAUGUUCUACCCUAAAUUGACCAAAGGACUUUUAUUCAGUGUACUCCAUGUUUAAGCAUAAGGAAGCUUUGUGCCUAAUAUGGAUGGAGAAGGAAUACUAUGUUAAUUUUGUUGUUAUUUCAGGUCUGUUUCAAUCUGAACUACUGGGUUGUCUGAACUAGCCAAGCAGUGUUACCAGUUAGUAAUAUCAUCUUUAAAAUGCUUAAUUUUAAUAAUUUUUUAUUCAAAGAAUCUAUGGAUUGUUAAGACAGUUGAAGUAUUUCUGAUAUGAAACAAAGGGAGUGGAAACUGGUACUUAAUGGGGGAAGCAAAAUUAGCUUGGGCUAAAGUGGGCAUGUUUUGUUUUAAGAAUGCUACCUAAAUGUCACCCAAUCUGCAGAGAUACUAGUAUUACUUGAAGAUGUGAAAGUUCCUGUGGUAGCCAUACCUUGAAGCACAGUGUUGUAUAUAAGUAAAUAUCUUGAUUCUAAAUUAAAUCCAGAUUUCACUAAUAUAUAUUAUUUUAUAUCUUUGUUGUAUUAAAAUGUUUAAAAACACUAAAAAUAAAACAUUUGAAAGUUG